GUACCUUGUUGGGCUUGAUGCAAUGCUUUUAGAGGCUAACACAGAGGGUAAAGUAAGUCUCCAUAAAACCCAGAGAAGAUUGUAAAAUUCUUCUCUGGAUCCUGUCUGGAGUCAAAGUG
rnacentral:snoRNA from 10 species